UGGGGUCUAGGAUGGAGUAACAGUUCAACCC
rnacentral:piRNA from 1 species